rnacentral:rRNA from 1 species
AAUAGAUACCCGGUAGUCCACGCCGUAAACGACUGAGUGCUAAGUGUUAGGGGGUUUCCGCCCCUUAGUGGCUGCAGCUAACGCAUUAAGCACUCCGCCUGGGGAGUACGGUCGCAAGACUGAAACUCAAAGGAAUUGACGGGGGCCCGCACAAGCGGUGGAGCAUGUGGUUUAAUUCGAAGCAACGCGAAGAACCUUACCAGGUCUUGACAUCCCAUUGACCACUAUGGAGACAUAGUUUUCCCUUCGGGGACAACGGUGACAGGUGGUGCAUGGUUGUCGUCAGCUCGUGUCGUGAGAUGUUGGGUUAAGUCCCGCAACGAGCGCAACCCUUGUUCUUAGUUGCCAUCAUUUAGUUGGGCACUCUAAGGAGACUGGCCGGUGACAAACCGGGAGGAAGGUGGGGAUGGACGUCAAAUCAUCAUGCCCCUUAUGACCUGGGCUACACACGUGCUACAAUGGACGGUACAAACGGUUGCCAACCGCGAGGGGAGCUAAUCCGAUAAACCGUUCUCAGUUCGGAUUGUAGGCUGCAACUCGCCUACAUGAAGCC